GAGUGGCGAACUGGUGAGUAACACGUGGGAAACCUGCCCAGAAGCGGGGGAUAACACCUGGAAACAGAUGCUAAUACCGCAUAACAACUUGGACCGCAUGGUCCGAGUUUGAAAGAUGGCUUCGGCUAUCACUUUUGGAUGGUCCCGCGGCGUAUUAGCUAGAUGGUGGGGUAACGGCUCACCAUGGCAAUGAUACGUAGCCGACCUGAGAGGGUAAUCGGCCACAUUGGGACUGAGACACGGCCCAAACUCCUACGGGAGGCAGCAGUAGGGAAUCUUCCACAAUGGACGAAAGUCUGAUGGAGCAACGCCGCGUGAGUGAAGAAGGGUUUCGGCUCGUAAAACUCUGUUGUUAAAGAAGAACAUAUCUGAGAGUAACUGUUCAGGUAUUGACGGUAUUUAACCAGAAAGCCACGGCUAACUACGUGCCAGCAGCCGCGGUAAUACGUAGGUGGCAAGCGUUGUCCGGAUUUAUUGGGCGUAAAGCGAGCGCAGGCGGUUUUUUAAGUCUGAUGUGAAAGCCUUCGGCUCAACCGAAGAAGUGCAUCGGAAACUGGGAAACUUGAGUGCAGAAGAGGACAGUGGAACUCCAUGUGUAGCGGUGAAAUGCGUAGAUAUAUGGAAGAACACCAGUGGCGAAAGCGGCUGUCUGGUCUGUAACUGACGCUGAGGCUCGAAAGUAUGGGUAGCAAACAGGAUUAGAUACCCUGGUAGUCCAUACCGUAAACGAUGAAUGCUAAGUGUUGGAGGGUUUCCGCCCUUCAGUGCUGCAGCUAACGCAUUAAGCAUUCCGCCUGGGGAGUACGGCCGCAAGGCUGAAACUCAAAGGAAUUGACGGGGGCCCGCACAAGCGGUGGAGCAUGUGGUUUAAUUCGAAGCUACGCGAAGAACCUUACCAGGUCUUGACAUACUAUGCAAAUCUAAGAGAUUAGACGUUCCCUUCGGGGACAUGGAUACAGGUGGUGCAUGGUUGUCGUCAGCUCGUGUCGUGAGAUGUUGGGUUAAGUCCCGCAACGAGCGCAACCCUUAUUAUCAGUUGCCAGCAUUAAGUUGGGCACUCUGGUGAGACUGCCGGUGACAAACCGGAGGAAGGUGGGGAUGACGUCAAAUCAUCAUGCCCCUUAUGACCUGGGCUACACACGUGCUACAAUGGAUGGUACAACGAGUUGCGAACUCGCGAGAGUAAGCUAAUCUCUUAAAGCCAUUCUCAGUUCGGAUUGUAGGCUGCAACUCGCCUACAUGAAGUCGGAAUCGCUAGUAAUCGCGGAUCAGCAUGCCGCGGUGAAUACGUUCCCGGGCCUUGUACACACCGCCCGUCACACCAUGAGAGUUUGUAACACCCAAAGUCGGUGGGGUAACCUUUUAGGAACCAGCCGC
rnacentral:rRNA from 1 species